GAUGAACGCUGACAGAAUGCUUAACACAUGCAAGUCAACUUGAAUUUGGGUUUUUAACUUAGAUUUGGGUGGCGGACGGGUGAGUAACGCGUAAAGAACUUGCCUCACAGCUAGGAACAACAUCUAGAAAUGAAUGCUAAUACCUAAUAUUAUGAUAAUAGGGCAUCCUAUAAUUAUGAAAGCUAUAUGCGCUGUGAGAGAGCUUUGCGUCCCAUUAGCUAGUUGGAGAGGUAACGGCUCACCAAGGCGAUGAUGGGUAGCCGGCCUGAGAGGGUGAUCGGCCACAAGGGGACUGAGACACGGCCCUUACUCCUACGGGAGGCAGCAGUGGGGAAUAUUGGACAAUGGACCGAGAGUCUGAUCCAGCAAUUCUGUGUGCACGAUGAAGUUUUUCGGAAUGUAAAGUGCUUUCAGUUGGGAAGAAAGAAAUGACGGUACCAACAGAAGAAGUGACGGCCAAAUACGUGCCAGCAGCCGCGGUAAUACGUAUGUCACGAGCGUUAUCCGGAUUUAUUGGGCGUAAAGCGCGUCUAGGUGGUUAUAUAAGUCUGAUGUGAAAAUGCAGGGCUCAACUCUGUAUUGCGUUGGAAACUGUAUAACUAGAGUACUGGAGAGGUAAGCGGAACUACAAGUGUAGAGGUGAAAUUCGUAGAUAUUUGUAGGAAUGCCGAUGGGGAAGCCAGCUUACUGGACAGAUACUGACGCUGAAGCGCGAAAGCGUGGGUAGCAAACAGG
rnacentral:rRNA from 1 species